UACGGAGGGUGCGAGCGUUGUCCGGAAUCAUUGGGCGUAAAGGGCGCGUAGGUGGCGCGGUCAGUUCGUGGUGAAAGCGCGGGGCUCAACCCCGCGUCGGCCAUGAAUACUGCUGGGCUGGAGCACUGUAGAGGGCAGGCGGAAUUCCGGGUGUAGCGGUGGAAUGCGGUAGAGAUCCGGAAGAACACCGGUGGCGAAGGCGGCCCUGGAGCUGGGCGAGUUGC
rnacentral:rRNA from 1 species